CCGCCUACAGGGGAUGGAGUCCCCCGUAUAACCGCCUCGGCCAGGCUGAUGACUCCUACGCUACA
rnacentral:ncRNA from 2 species